rnacentral:rRNA from 1 species
GCCUAACGGCUGAACUGGCAACUUGGAUGAAUGGACCCGGCUACCCCUUAAGAAAGAGGUGAGAGGUAGUGCAGGAGAUCCUUUUAAGGAGUAAAGUUCUAAAUAUAUGAUUGAUAAUGACAGUCUAUAUAUUAUGUCUUGACCAAUUACGUGCCAGCAGUCGCGGCAAUACGUAUGAGACUAGUGUUAUUCAUCUUAAAUAGGUUUAAAGGGUACCCAGACGGCAAAUGUCACCUUUAAAAGGUUAUUAUUUUGCUAGAGUUUUAUGUGAAGAGGCCGUACUCGUGAGUGGAGAGAUAAAAUUCUGUGAUACCUAGGGGACGGAUAAAGGCGAAGGCAGCCUCUUAUGUAGAAACUGACGUUGAAGGACGAAGGCAUUGCGGCACCAACAGGAUUAGGGACCCAAGUAGUCUUUGCAGACAAUGAUGAAUGCCAUAGGUUAGGUUAUUACUUAUCUAUAAAUGAAAGUGUAAGC